rnacentral:rRNA from 1 species
GACGAACCGUGCGAACGUUAUUCGGAAUCACUGGCUUAAAGCGCGUGUAGGCGGGAGGGCACGUCCGUCGCUGAAAUCCCCCGGCUCAACCGGGGAACGGGCGCGGAUACGACCUUCCUUGAGGGGCGUAGGGGGACCUGGAACUUCCGGUGGAGCGGUGAAAUGCGUUGAGAUCGGAAGGAACGCCCGUGGCGAAAGCGAGGUCCUGGACGCCUACUGACGCUGAGACGCGAAAAGCCAGGGGGAGCGAACGGG